rnacentral:tRNA from 1 species
UACAUUUUAGUAUAUGGUGUACAAAAAUUUUUGAUAUUUUAAGAAUUAGUUUAAUUCUAAUAAAUGUAA